rnacentral:rRNA from 1 species
CUCAGGAUGAGCGCUGGCGGUAUGCUUUAUACAUGCAAGUCGUACGAGAGUUUUUAACUCAAGUGGCGGACGGGUGAGUAACACGUAAGAAUUUGCCUUUAGGAGGGGGAUAACAACUGGAAACGGUUGCUAAUACCCCAUAUGCUUUCGAGUGAAAUGGAUUUCCGCCUAAAGAGAAGCUUGCGUCUGAUUAGCUUGUUGGUAAGGUAAUGGCUUACCAAGGCGACGAUCAGUAUCUGGUUUGAGAGGAUGAUCAGACACGCUGGAACUGAGACACGGUCCAGACUCCUACGGGAGGCAGCAGUAGGGAAUUUUCCGCAAUGGGCGAAAGCCUGACGGAGCAAUACCGCGUGAGGGAUGACUGCCUAUGGGUUGUAAACCUCUUUUUUCAGGGAGGAACAAAAUGACGUGUACCUGAAGAAUAAGCCCCGGCUAACUUCGUGCCAGCAGCCGCGGUAAUACGAGGGGGGCAAGCGUUGUUCGGAAUUAUUGGGCGUAAAGGGUGCGUAGGCGGUUUGGUAAGUCUUAUGUGAAAUCUAUGGGCUCAACUCAUAGACUGCAUGAGAAACUGCCGGGCUUGAGUAUGGGAGAGGUGAGUGGAAUUCCUGGUGUAGCGGUGAAAUGCGUAGAUAUCAGGAGGAACACCUGUGGCGAAAGCGGCUCACUGGACCAUAACUGACGCUGAUGCACGAAAGCUAGGGGAGCAAACAGGAUUAGAUACCCUGGUAGUCCUAGCCCUAAACG